rnacentral:tRNA from 1 species
GAGGAUAUAGCUCAGUGGUAGAGUGCAUGCUUAGCAUGCAUGAGGUCCUAGGUUCAAUCCCCAGUGCCUCCA